UGGAUGACUUGUCUGGUUGAUUCCGAUAACGAGUGAGAUCUCUGCCUCCUACUAGACCCUGGCUCGCAACUGGUAGGGUCUGGCCAGGUGGGUCCAACGGCUGGGGAACCUCAGGGUGUGGUGGCUCCGGCUGCUGCCCCCUGCCCCAGCUGCCCCUGGCUGCCCGAGAGCCCUUGGGUGUGAUGCUUCUUUGAGGUGCUGUGUCCGUCUGCCAAGGGCAAGCAUGCUAGAGCCAACAGCAGGUCUGUGAUGCUCCCAGAUGUCCUGGGCCGCACGCGCACUACACUGGUGCAGUGAAGGAGUCUACAGUGCCCACCCUUUCAGUGGGCCCUGGUCAGAAGUGACUGGGAAAUCCUACGAGUCUGCCUAACCGUGCUGGGGAUAGAUGAUUGCAACUGUCUGCCUUGAACGUGGAAUGCCUAGUAGGCGUUGGUCAUCAGCCAACACCGAUUGUGUCCCUGCCAUUUGUACACACCGCCCGUCGUUGCUACCGAUGGUGGCUGGAUAGAACCAUCAGGAGGUCUGUGAGGCUGGCCCCUGUGGCCAGGCCCCCACGCCCGAAAUCGGGUGAUGUCCCGCUGCUAGAGGAAGCAAAAGUCGUAGCAA
rnacentral:rRNA from 1 species